rnacentral:rRNA from 1 species
AGGUUAAGUGAAUAAGGGCGCACGGUGGAUGCCUUGGCACUAGGAGCCGAUGAAGGACGGGACUAACACCGAUAUGCUUUGGGGAGCUGUACGUAAGCUAUGAUCCAGAGAUUUCCGAAUGGGGAAACCCAACAUCUUUUAUAGGAUGUUACGUUUGCGUGAAUACAUAGCGCAUUCGAGGUAGACGCAGAGAACUGAAACAUCUAAGUACCUGCAGGAAGAGAAAGAAAAUUCGAUUCCCUGAGUAGCGGCGAGCGAAACGGGAAAAGCCCAAACCAAUGAGCUUGCUCAUUGGGGUUGUAGGACUCCAAUAUGGUAGUUCUUUCAGAUAAUCGAAUGACUUGGAAAAGUCAGUCAAAGAGGGUAAAAACCCCGUAGAUGAAAUUUGGAAGGCACCUAGGAGGAUCCUGAGUACGGCGGAACACGAGGAAUUCCGUCGGAAUCCGGGAGGACCAUCUCCCAAGGCUAAAUACUCCCUAGUGACCGAUAGUGAACCAGUACCGUGAGGGAAAGGUGAAAAGCACCCCGGAAGGGGAGUGAAAUAGAACCUGAAACCGUGUGCCUACAACAAGUCAAAGCCCGUUAAUGGGUGAUGGCGUGCCUUUUGUAGAAUGAACCGGCGAGUUACGAUUGCAUGCGAGGUUAAGUCGAAGAGACGGAGCCGCAGCGAAAGCGAGUCUGAAUAGGGCGUUUGAGUAUGUAGUCGUAGACCCGAAACCAUGUGAUCUACCCAUGUCCAGGUUGAAGGUGCGGUAAAACGCACUGGAGGACCGAACCCACGUACGUUGAAAAGUGCGGGGAUGAGGUGUGGGUAGCGGAGAAAUUCCAAACGAACUUGGAGAUAGCUGGUUCUCUCCGAAAUAGCUUUAGGGCUAGCCUCGGAUUUGAGAAUGAUGGAGGUAGAGCACUGUUUGGACUAGGGGCCCAUCUCGGGUUACCGAAUUCAGAUAAACUCCGAAUGCCAUUCAUUCAUAUCCGGGAGUCAGACUGUGAGUGAUAAGAUCCAUAGUCGAAAGGGAAACAGCCCAGACCACCAGCUAAGGUCCCAAAAUAUAUGUUAAGUGGAAAAGGAUGUGGGGUUGCACAGACAACUAGGAUGUUGGCUCAGAAGCAGCCACCAUUUAAAGAGUGCGUAAUAGCUCACUAGUCGAGUGACCCUGCGCCGAAAAUGUACCGGGGCUAAACAUAUUACCGAAGCUGUGGAGUACACCAUUAGGUGUAUUGGUAGGAGAGCGUUCUAAGGGCGUUGAAGGCAGAUCGUGAGGACUGCUGGAGCGCUUAGAAGUGAGAAUGCCGGUAUGAGUAGCGAAAGACAGGUGAGAAUCCUGUCCACCGAAUGACUAAGGUUUCCUGGGGAAGGCUCGUCCGCCCAGGGUUAGUCGGGACCUAAGCCGAGGCCGACAGGCGUAGGCGAUGGACAACAGGUUGAUAUUCCUGUACUCGUUGUUUUUGUUUGAGCAAUGGAGGGACGCAGGAGGCUAAGGAAUGCAGACGAUUGGAAAUGUCUGUCCAAGCAGUAAGUCUUGAUAGGAGUCAAAUGCUUCUGUCUACACGGAUAAGCUGUGAUGGGGAGGGAAAUAAUAGUACCGAAGUUCCUGAUGUCACACUGCCAAGAAAAGCUUCUAGUGAGAAAACAAUGACCCGUACCGCAAACCGACACAGGUAGUCGAGGAGAGAAUCCUAAGGUGAGCGAGAGAACUCUCGUUAAGGAACUCGGCAAAAUGACCCCGUAACUUCGGGAGAAGGGGUGCUGAUCUUUGAUCAGCCGCAGUGAAUAGGCCCAAGCGACUGUUUAUCAAAAACACAGGUCUCUGCAAAAUCGUAAGAUGAAGUAUAGGGGCUGACGCCUGCCCGGUGCUGGAAGGUUAAGAGGAGUGCUUAGCGUAAGCGAAGGUACGAAUUGAAGCCCCAGUAAACGGCGGCCGUAACUAUAACGGUCCUAAGGUAGCGAAAUUCCUUGUCGGGUAAGUUCCGACCCGCACGAAAGGCGUAACGAUUUGGGCACUGUCUCAACGAGAGACUCGGUGAAAUUUUAGUACCUGUGAAGAUGCAGGUUACCCGCGACAGGACGGAAAGACCCCAUGGAGCUUUACUGUAGUUUGAUAUUGAGUGUCUGUACCGCAUGUACAGGAUAGGUAGGAGCCGUAGAAAUCGGAACGCUAGUUUCGAUGGAGGCGCUGGUGGGAUACUACCCCUGCGUUAUGGCCACUCUAACCCGCACCACUGAUCGUGGUGGGAGACAGUGUCAGAUGGGCAGUUUGACUGGGGCGGUCGCCUCCUAAAAGGUAACGGAGGCGCCCAAAGGUUCCCUCAGAAUGGUUGGAAAUCAUUCGAAGAGUGUAAAGGCAGAAGGGAGCUUGACUGCGAGACCAACAAGUCGAGCAGGGACGAAAGUCGGGCUUAGUGAUCCGGUGGUUCCGCAUGGAAGGGCCAUCGCUCAACGGAUAAAAGCUACCCUGGGGAUAACAGGCUUAUCUCCCCCAAGAGUCCACAUCGACGGGGAG